UACGAAGGGGGCUAGCGUUGCUCGGAAUCACUGGGCGUAAAGGGUGCGUAGGCGGGUCUUUAAGUCCGGGGUGAAAUCCUGGGGCUCAACUCCAGAACUGCCUUUGAUACUGAGGAUCUUGAGUUCGGGAGAGGUGAGUGGAACUGCGAGUGUAGAGGUGAAAUUCGUAGAUAUUCGCAAGAACACCAGUGGCGAAGGCGGCUCACUGGCCCGAUACUGACGCUGAGGCACGAAAGCGUGGGGAGCAAACAGG
rnacentral:rRNA from 1 species